UCGUAACAAGGUUUCCGUAGGUGAACCUGCGGAAGGAUCAUUACCGAGUGUAGGGUUCCUAGCGAGCCCAACCUCCCACCCGUGUUUACUGUACCUUAGUUGCUUCGGCGGGCCCGCCAUUCAUGGCCGCCGGGGGCUCUCAGCCCCGGGCCCGCGCCCGCCGGAGACACCACGAACUCUGUCUGAUCUAGUGAAGUCUGAGUUGAUUGUAUCGCAAUCAGUUAAAACUUUCAACAAUGGAUCUCUUGGUUCCGGCAUCGAUGAAGAACGCAGCGAAAUGCGAUAACUAGUGUGAAUUGCAGAAUUCCGUGAAUCAUCGAGUCUUUGAACGCACAUUGCGCCCCCUGGUAUUCCGGGGGGCAUGCCUGUCCGAGCGUCAUUGCUGCCCAUCAAGCACGGCUUGUGUGUUGGGUCGUCGUCCCCUCUCCGGGGGGGACGGGCCCCAAAGGCAGCGGCGGCACCGCGUCCGAUCCUCGAGCGUAUGGGGCUUUGUCACCCGCUCUGUAGGCCCGGCCGGCGCUUGCCGAACGCAAAUCAAUCUUUUUCCAGGUUGACCUCGGAUCAGGUAGGGAUACCCGCUGAACCUAAGCAUAUCA
rnacentral:misc_RNA from 1 species